UGGUCAAGUUAUUAAGGGUGCAGGGCGGAUGCCUUGGCACUAGGAGCCGAUGAAGGACGUGAUAAGCUGCGAUAAGCUUCGGGGAGUUGCACGUAAACUUUGAUCCGAAGAUUUCCGAAUGAGGAAACUCACUUAGAGUAAUGUCUAAGUAUCAUUAAGUGAAUACAUAGCUUAAUGAGGGGAACUCAGGGAACUGAAACAUCUAAGUACCUGAAGGAAGAGAAAGAAAUUCGAUUCCGUAAGUAGCGGCGAGCGAACGCGGAUUAGCCCAAACCAAUAAAGUUUUCUUUAUUGGGGUUGCGGAC
rnacentral:rRNA from 1 species